GGGAUGUUGGUGCAGAAGAGGGAGGAGGAGGCUGGAUCUGAGGGAGCCAUGAUCAAGAUCAGGGUCUCUCAUGGGUCCAACCAGCACGAGGUCGCCGUGCCGGCCAAGUCCACCUUUGGGGAGCUGAAGGAAAUUCUUGCCCGAGAGACUGGUCUGGGACCUAAGGAGCAAAGAUUAUUGUUCAGGGGGAAGGAGAAGGAUGAUGAGGAAUACUUACACAUGACCGGUGUCAAGGACAUGUCAAAGAUAGUUCUCUUCGAGGACCCUUCUAGUAAGGAGAGGAAGCUCGAACAGAUGAAGAGGGAUCCGGAGAUUAUAAAGAAGGAUCCGGAGACUAUAAAGAAAGAUCCGGAGAUUACCAAGGCUUGCGAAGCCAUCUCUAGUGUUCGCACAGAGGUGGAUAAACUCUGUGAGAGGGUUUCUGCUUUGCAGGCUGCAGUUUAU
rnacentral:misc_RNA from 1 species